rnacentral:rRNA from 1 species
GAUGAACGCUGGCGGCGUGCCUAAUACAUGCAAGUCGAGCGAACAGACGAGGCGCUUGCUCCUCUGACGUUAGCGGCGGACGGGUGAGUAACACGUGGAUAACCUACCUAUAAGACUGGGAUAACUUCGGGAAACCGGAGCUAAUACCGGAUAAUAUAUUGAACCGCAUGGUUCAAUAGUGAAAGACGGUUUUGCUGUCACUUAUAGAUGGAUCCGCGCCGCAUUAGCUAGUUGGUAAGGUAACGGCUUACCAAGGCAACGAUGCGUAGCCGACGUGAGAGGGUGAUAGGCCACACUGGAGCGGGGACGCGGUCAAGACUCCUACGGGACGCAGCAGUAGGGAAUCUGCCGCAAUGGGCGAAAGCCUGACGGAGCAACGCCGCGUGAGUGAUGAAGGUCUUCGGAUCGUAAAACUCUGUUAUUAGGGAAGAACAAAUGUGUAAGUAACUAUGCACGGCUUGACGGUACCUAAUCAGAAAGCCACGGCUAACUACGUG